rnacentral:rRNA from 1 species
AUUGAAAGCUGGCGGCAGGCCUAACACAUGAAAGACGAGCGAGCGGCGGACGGGUGAGUAAUGUCUGGGAAACUGCCUGAUGGAGGGGGAUAAAUAAUGGAAACGGUAGCUCAUACCGCAUAAAAGCAGAUGGGUACACAUGGGAGUAGCUAGUAGGUGGGGUAAUGGCUCACCUAGGCAACGCACCCUAGCUGGUAUGAGAGGAUGACCAGCCACACUGGAACGGAGACACGUUCCAGACUCCUACGGGAGGCAGCAGUGGGGAAUAUUGCACAAUGGGCGCAAGCCUGAUGCAGCCAUGCCGCGUGUGUGAAGAAGGCCUUCGGGUUGUAAGGCACUUUCAGCGGGGAGGCGUUACCCGCAGAAGAAGCACCGGCUAACUCCGUGCCAGCAGCCGCGGUAAUAC